rnacentral:rRNA from 1 species
GAGGAAGGCGGGGAUGACGUCAAAUCAGCACGGCCCUUACGUCCAGGGCUACACACGUGCUACAAUGGCCGAUACAGAGGGCAGCUACCUGGUGACAGGAUAGCAAAUCUCCAAAGUCGGUCUCAGUUCGGAUCGGAGUACUGCAACCCGACUCCGUGAAGUUGGAUUCGCUAGUAAUCGCGCAUCAGCCAUGGCGCGGUGAAUACGUUCCCGGGCCUU